AACGAACGCUGGCGGCAGGCUUAACACAUGCAAGUCGAACGAAGUCUUCGGACUUAGUGGCGGACGGGUGAGUAACACGUGGGAACGUGCCUUUAGGUUCGGAAUAACUCAGGGAAACUUGUGCUAAUACCGAAUGUGCCCUUCGGGGGAAAGAUUUAUCGCCUUUAGAGCGGCCCGCGUCUGAUUAGCUAGUUGGUGGGGUAAUGGCCCACCAAGGCUACGAUCAGUAGCUGGUCUGAGAGGAUGACCAGCCACAUUGGGACUGAGACACGGCCCAAACUCCUACGGGAGGCAGCAGUGGGGAAUCUUGCGCAAUGGGCGAAAGCCUGACGCAGCCAUGCCGCGUGGAUGAUGAAGGUCUUAGGAUUGUAAAAUCCUUUCACCGGUGAAGAUAAUGACUGUAGCCGGAGAAGAAGCCCCGGCUAACUUCGUGCCAGCCGCCGCUGUAAAAC
rnacentral:rRNA from 1 species